rnacentral:rRNA from 1 species
GUCUACAGCCAUGCUAAUCUGAACAAGCCCGAUCCUGUCCGAUCUCAGAAGCUAAGCAGGGUUGGGCCUGGUUAGUACUUGGAUGGAAGACCACCUAGGAAGACCAGGUUCUGUAGGCA